UACGGAGGGUGCGAGCGUUGUUCGGAAUCACUGGGCGUAAAGCGCGUGUAGGCGGCCUUUUAAGUCUGAUGUGAAAGCCCGGGGCUCACCCCCGGAAGUGCAUUGGAAACUGGGAGGCUAGAGUACCGGAGAGGAAGGUGGAAUUCCUGGUGUAGCGGUGAAAUGCGUAGAUAUCAGGAGGAACACCAGUGGCGAAGGCGGCUCACUGGCUCGGUACUGACGCUGAUGUGCGAAAGCGUGGGGAGCAAACAGG
rnacentral:rRNA from 1 species